AUUGAACGCUGGCGGCAUGCUUUACACAUGCAAGUCGAACGGCAGCACGGGCUUCGGCCUGGUGGCGAGUGGCGAACGGGUGAGUAAUGCAUCGGAACGUGCCAUUGAGUGGGGGAUAACGUAGCGAAAGUUGCGCUAAUACCGCAUAUUCUGUGAGCAGGAAAGCAGGGGACCGCAAGGCCUUGCGCUCUUUGAGCGGCCGAUGUCAGAUUAGCUAGUUGGUGAGGUAACGGCUUACCAAGGCGACGAUCUGUAGCGGGUCUGAGAGGAUGAUCCGCCACACUGGAACUGAGACACGGUCCAGACUCCUACGGGAGGCAGCAGUGGGGAAUUUUGGACAAUGGGCGCAAGCCUGAUCCAGCCAUGCCGCGUGAGUGAAGAAGGCCU
rnacentral:rRNA from 1 species